UGCAAGUCGAACGAAGUAGCAAUACUUAGUGGCAGACGGGUGAGUAACAUGUAGGUAUCUGCCCUUUGGCCUGGAAUAACACGAGGAAACUUGUGCUAAUACCGGAUAAGUCUUUACGGAGAAAGCUUUAUGCACCAUUGGAUGAGCCUGCACUUGAUUAGUUUGUUGGUAGGGUAAUGGCCUACCAAGACUGUGAUCAAUAGCUGAUUUGAGAGGAUGGUCAGCCACAUUGGGACUGAGACACGGCCCAAACUCCUACGGGAGGCAGCAGUGGGGAAUCUUGCACAAUGGAGGAAACUCUGAUGCAGCGAUGCCGCGUGAGUGAAGAAGGCCCUUGGGUUGUAAAGCUCUUUCGUCGGGGAAGAAAAUGACUGUACCCGAAUAAGAAGGUCCGGCUAACUUCGUGCCAGCAGCCGCGGUAAUACGAAGGGACCUAGCGUAGUUCGGAAUUACUGGGCUUAAAGAGUUCGUAGGUGGUUGAAAAAGUUGGUGGUGAAAUCCCAGAGCUUAACUCUGGAACUGCCAUCAAAACUUUUCAGCUAGAGUUUGAUAGAGGAAAAGCAGAAUUUCUAGUGUA
rnacentral:rRNA from 1 species